rnacentral:ncRNA from 1 species
CGAAAAGCAAUGAAGGGGAAUAAGCCCAAACAACCUCAUUUCAGAGAGGCAACGGUCGGUGAGAGUUGCUGUGAGACUUUGGUAAGCACUCGCCCCGGAGCUGUACUCAGAUCAUAAUGAGUGCCGGUGCGAGCCGUUAUCAUCGAUGAAGUGCAGUUGAAAUUGGGUGGUACCGCGGGAAGUUACUCUCGUCCCUUUA